UUUUUUAGUUCAGUUAACUGUAUUCUAGUUUAGUAAACUGUUCUCAAUUUAAAAACACGCUUAAAAGAGUCCUUGAAGACCGAAUGACCAAAAAUUUCAGAUAGGACAACAAGGCUACCAGUUUUUUCAAUUGCAACUUUGAUUUUUGCUACUCCAACCCAUAGAUUCAAAUUUCAAAACAAUAAUGUCCAUCAAACAGAAGAAGAUGAAAAUGAGCAGACUUCAUAGUCCCCCGCAAAAACAUAAAUUCCUUCCACCCCAUUUGUAAUAAAAUCUAUUAUCACCAAUGACUCCAUUUGAAAAUAGUAUAGCGAACAUAAAUUCAUUUACCGAAUCAGGUCCUUUUGUGCAGGGACCACCAACCAAAGCAAUGAUCCUAGCCCCAGUCUUGGGAUUACAAGCACCAAGCAACACCACCGCUGCUACGCUCAACGCCACGUCGGUACACUAUGCAAGGCACUUCCCGAUCGAAAUCAGUCACGCGUUAGUUUGCAAGCAGAAGGUGUUGAACUGUGUAGGGUUUUCGUUGGAGGAGAUAGAGGUAUUGAACUGUGUAAGGUUUUCGUUGAGAGAAAGGGGAAAUGAGGACAGAGCAAACUUAAAAAAUUAAAAACACAGUUCACCCCAAUUAAAAAGUAAAAACACAGUUCACCCAGUUAAAAAAAUAAAAACACAGUUCACCCAGUUAACUGCUCUGAAAAUAAAAUAGGUUUAGUUUAUUUAAACUGAACCAAAAAUAGGUUAUUUAGUUUUUAGUAAAAAUAGAUCAGUUUGUUU
rnacentral:lncRNA from 1 species